ACCAGCAGCCAUGUCACCCUGCAACUUACAGUUGGCAAUCUACUGAAGCAAAGCAGGUGUGAGCCUGGUCAGUACCUGGAUCGGAGACCUCCUGGGAAAAACUAAGGUUGCUGCUGAAA
rfam:Lepisosteus oculatus linkage group LG3, whole genome shotgun sequence.